rnacentral:rRNA from 1 species
AGGAUGAACGCUGGCGGUCUGCUUAACACAUGCAAGUCGAACGGAGUACCUCGGUACUUAGUGGCGGACGGGUGAGUAACGCGUGAGAAUCUGCCCUUAGGUCGGGGACAACCAUUGGAAACGAUGGCUAAUACCGGAUAAGCCGAGAGGUAAAAGAUUAAUUGCCUAGGGAAGAGCUCGCGUCUGAUUAGCUAGUUGGUGAGGUAAAAGGCUCACCAAGGCAUCGAUCAGUAGCUGGUCUGAGAGGAUGAUCAGCCACACUGGGACUGAGACACGGCCCAGACUCCUACGGGAGGCAGCAGUGGGGAAUUUUCCGCAAUGGGCGAAAGCCUGACGGAGCAAGACCGCGUGAGGGAGGAAGGCUCGUUGGGUUGUAAACCUCGUUUUCUUGGGAAGAACAAAUGACGGUACCCAAGGAAUCAGCAUCGGACUAACUCCGUGCCAGCAGCCGC